ensembl:rRNA 5S_rRNA 5S ribosomal RNA
GAGUCUGGCUAUACCAACCUGAACAAGCCCAAUCUCACCUGCUCUCAGAGGCUAAGCAGGGUGGGGCCUGUUUAGUACUCAGGUGGGAGAAAGAGAAUCAGGCAGACAUAUGUC